GGAAAACUACUGUACUGCCACAGGCGGGAGCGCCACAACAUGGUGACAUGGAAGCUCUAUGGUCCUUCGAUGGCUAAAACACUGGGCUCCUGCCCCUCGGUCGCUCCCAAGGCCCCAUUCCCACCCUCUGCCAUUCUGGAGCCAGCGGGGGUGGAGCUGGCCGGGGAUGGGCGGAGCCUCCCCGCCCCAUAUCCCACAAUGCCCCGAGACCGGAAGAGGGAGUCGUGGUUUCCGGAACUUCCCUCCCCGCUGUGGGCUUUUGCUUUGUCCUGCUGGUGGCGAGUUGGUGUCUACGUUUGUUUGUUAUGGUCUACGUUUGUUAUGGUCGCCGCUGUCGCUAUGGAGACAGGUGAUUCUGGAAAUCGACUUCGGUUUCAAUUGGAGUUGGAAUUUGUGCAAUGUUUAGCCAACCCAAAUUACCUUAAUUUUCUUGCCCAGAGAGGUUACUUCAAAGACAAAGCUUUUGUUAAUUAUCUUAAAUACUUGCUUUACUGGAAAGACCCAGAACAUGCCAAGUAUCUAAAGUACCCUCAGUGUUUACACAUUAGAGUUGCUCCAAUAUGAACACUUCCAAAAGGAGCUGGUGAAUGCCCAGUGUGCGAAAUUUAUUGAUGAACAGCAGAUUCUACACUGGCAGCACUAUUCCGGAAGCGGAUGCGCCUUCUGCAAGCCUUGGCAGAGCAGCAACAGCAAAAUAACACAUCGGGAAAAUGAAAAACUGGAUACAGACGAGGCUCUGAAGAUACAUAUAUAUAUAUAUAUAUUUCUUUUGUACAGUGAAGACCAAAAAAAAAAAAAAUGAAAACUCUUCCUAUCUAGCUUAUUAUGGUCGCCCUUAGAACCUUUAGUGUGCUUUUCAAUCCAACUAACUUUUUAUUGUCAAUGGACUAUCACUGUUAAACCUGAAGUGUUCUACUUUGA